UUCCGUAGGUGAACCUGCGGAAGGAUCAUUAAUGAUUGGCCUAACGGCCUUAUCAACAUAAUCCCUCACCUCUGUGAACCGUUGACCUCCGGGUCUACAUAACAAACAUCAGUGUAAAGAACGUCUUUAUAUUUUAACAAAAUAAAACUUUCAACAACGGAUCUCUUGGCUCUCGCAUCGAUGAAGAACGCAGCGAAAUGCGAUAAGUAAUGUGAAUUGCAGAAUUCAGUGAAUCAUCGAAUCUUUGAACGCACCUUGCGCCUUUUGGUAUUCCGAAAGGCAUGCCUGUUUGAGUGUCAUGAAAUCUCAAUCCCCCCGGGUUUUCUGAACCCGAGGUGGACUUGGACAUGGGUGUCUGCCGUCUCGUACGGCUCGCCUUAAAUGACUCAGUGGGAUCUUCAGCAUCCGUGGCAGACGUAAUAAGUUUCGUCUCGUCCCUUGCUGUGAGGACCGCUCAUAACCUGCCAUCGCGCACCACUUUUGACUCUGACCUCAAAUCAGGUAGGACUACCCGCUGAACUUAAGCAUAUCAAUAAGCGGA
rnacentral:rRNA from 1 species